AUUGAACGCUGGCGGCAUGCCUUACACAUGCAAGUCGAACGGUAACGGGCCUUCGGGUGCCGACGAGUGGCGAACGGGUGAGUAAUACAUCGGAACGUGCCCGAUCGUGGGGGAUAACGAGGCGAAAGCUUUGCUAAUACCGCAUACGAUCUACGGAUGAAAGCAGGGGACCGCAAGGCCUUGCGCGGACGGAGCGGCCGAUGGCAGAUUAGGUCGUUGGUGGGAUAAAAGCUUACCAAGCCGACGAUCUGUAGCUGGUCUGAGAGGAUGAUCAGCCACACUGGGACUGAGACACGGCCCAGGCUCCUACGGGAGGCAGCAGUGGGGAAUUUUGGACAAUGGGCGCAAGCCUGAUCCAGCCAUGCCGCGUGCAGGAUGAAGGCCUUCGGGUUGUAAACUGCUUUUGUACGGAACGAAAAGCCUUCUUUUAAUACAGGAGGGUCAUGACGGUACCGUAAGAAUAAGCACCGGCUAACUACGUG
rnacentral:rRNA from 1 species